GGUUUGACGCGUUGUUCGUGAAAACUCACAGCUUAACUGUGGGCGUGCGGGCGAUACGGGCAGACUUGAGUACUGCAGGGGAGACUGGAAUUCCUGGUGUAGCGGUGGAAUGCGCAGAUAUCAGGAGGAACACCGGUGGCGAAGGCGGGUCUCUGGGCAGUAACUGACGCUGAGGAGCGAAAGCGUGGGGAGCGAACGGGAUUAGAUACCCUGGUAGUCCACGCCGUAAACGGUGGGUACUAGGUGUGGGUUUCCUUCCUUGGGAUCCGUGCCGUAGCUAACGCAUUAAGUACCCCGCCUGGGGAGUACGGCCGCAAGGCUAAAACUCAAAGAAAUUGACGGGGGCCCGCACAAGCGGCGGAGCAUGUGGAUUAAUUCGAUGCAACGCGAAGAACCUUACCUGGGUUUGACAUGCACAGGACGCCAGUAGAGAUAUUGGUUCCCUUGUGGCCUGUGUGCAGGUGGUGCAUGGCUGUCGUCAGCUCGUGUCGUGAGAUGUUGGGUUAAGUCCCGCAACGAGCGCAACCCUUGUCCUAUGUUGCCAGCGGGUUAUGCCGGGGACUCGUAGGAGACUGCCGGGGUCAACUCGGAGGAAGGUGGGGAUGACGUCAAGUCAUCAUGCCCCUUAUGUCCAGGGCUUCACACAUGCUACAAUGGCCGGUACAAAGGGCUGCGAUGCCGUGAGGUGGAGCGAAUCCUUUCAAAGCCGGUCUCAGUUCGGGUCGGGGUCUGCAACUCGACCCCGUGAAGUCGGAU
rnacentral:rRNA from 1 species